rnacentral:tRNA from 1 species
GGCCAGUUAGCUCAGUGGGUUGAGUGCGGUGCUGAUAACAACGACAACACCGAGGUCGCAGGUUCGCUUCCUGCUUGGUCC